rnacentral:rRNA from 1 species
GACGAACGCUGGCGGCGUGCUUAAUACAUGCAAGUCGAACGGAAAGGCCCUGCUUUUGUGGGGUGCUCGAGUGGCGAACGGGUGAGUAACACGUGAGUAACCUGCCCUUGACUUUGGGAUAACUUCAGGAAACUGGGGCUAAUACCGGAUAGGAGCUCCUGCUGCAUGGUGGGGGUUGGAAAGUUUCGGCGGUUGGGGAUGGACUCGCGGCUUAUCAGCUUGUUGGUGGGGUAGUGGCUUACCAAGGCUUUGACGGGUAGCCGGCCUGAGAGGGUGACCGGCCACAUUGGGACUGAGAUACGGCCCAGACUCCUACGGGAGGCAGCAGUGGGGAAUAUUGCACAAUGGGCGGAAGCCUGAUGCAGCAACGCCGCGUGCUGGAUGACGGCCUUCGGGUUGUAAACCGCUUUCGCCUGUGACGAAGCGUGAGUGACGGUAAUGGGUAAAGAAGCACCGGCUAACUACGUG